GACGAAGGUCGGCCGGUGAAUAGCCGAGUCGACUGACGGUACCUCCAGAAGAAGCCCCGGCUAACUACGUGCCAGCAGCCGCGGUAAUACGUAGGGGGCAAGCGUUGUCCGGAAUCAUUGGGCGUAAAGCGCGCGUAGGCGGCCCGGUAAGUCCGCUGUAAAAGUCAAAGGCUCAACCUUUGAAUGCCGGUGGAUACUGCCGGGCUCGAGUCCGGAAGAGGCGAGUGGAAUUCCUGGUGUAGCGGUGGAAUGCGCAGAUAUCAGGAGGAACACCAAUAGCGAAGGCAGCUCGCUGGGACGGUACUGACGCUGAGGCGCGAAAGCGUGGGGAGCGAACAGGAUUAGAUACCCUGGUAGUCCACGCCGUAAACGAUGGGCACUAGGUGUGGGAGGUGUCGACUCCUUCCGUGCCGGCGCUAACGCAUUAAGUGCCCCGCCUGGGGAGUACGGCCGCAAGGCUAAAACUCAAAGGAAUUGACGGGGGCCCGCACAAGCAGCGGAGCAUGUGGUUUAAUUCGACGCAACGCGAAGAACCUUACCUGGGCUUGACAUGUANGUGACUGCCGUGGAAACACGGUUUUCCUUCGGGACACCUUCACAGGUGGUGCAUGGCUGUCGUC
rnacentral:rRNA from 1 species